UUUUUUUUUUUUUUGUUUCUAUUGAACUGUUGCGUUUCAUUUCUUGGGCUUUGAGGUCUGAGAUAACCGUUUGGAAGAGCUUCUUGGGUUUGAUUAGGCGGGUCAAUAGAGGAAGAUGUCAUGAAAUGCAAGUCAAUAGGUUUUUGACCACUGAUCAAUCCAUGUUGAACCAUCGUUUUCUUUUUAAACUUACCGUCAAUUUCUUCUGUUUAUUGUGUGGUGCAGAUGUCUUCUUUCUUACACUGAGGUUGGGGAUGACGAAAGUGGCAAAACAAUUUUAAGAGAACGCCUACUAGGUGUUUGACAGAAUACCUUUAGGAGUCAAAAUAAAAGUUCCAGUGAUUGCAGGCCAGAAGGUGAUAUCAACACCAAUGGAAGGGUUGAAAAUAUAUGGCUUACGUGGGACUACUCUGGUCAAACUGCGGUAAGACUUUGAAAAUUGCAAGAGAGUCGGAUCUCAAGUCUCUCUCCUUGCCUCAAAACGCCAUGUGAGACUCUCUGUUCCACCAACCAAUAGUUUUUGUUGAAAUGCCCAUCGACCGGUACAAACAAAGAGGCUAAGUUGUGGUUGUGCCGCUAGCAAGUUGUCCUACCCAUCUACCAGUACAAACAUGGAGGCUAAGUUUUGGUUCAAGGUAAGAAGCCCUUAAAUAUCAGUUUUGUUUGCUCUACUUAAUCAGUCACAAAAAGAUAAGCAUUCAAUUCUUAUGACUCAUGAGCCUAUUUAGAUGUGUAAGUUCCUCCGCAAGAUACACGAUACGAUACUACGCAUGAUUGAAUGCCAAAUUAGGUACUCCUUUUGAUGUUGUGAUCCAGAUUUGUAAUUUGUUUGUUGACAUUAUGUUGGUUCCAUAUGAGGUAUACUUUGUUCGUAUAGUUAGUCUUGCAAGUUUAUCUAAUGCACCAACUUCACAUCCUUACAUAUCUUUGAACAAAGUUUUGAUUCAUUUUUUC